rnacentral:rRNA from 1 species
UACGGGGGGAGCAAGCGUUGUUCGGAUUUACUGGGCGUAAAGGGCGCGUAGGCGGCGCAAGCAAGUCACUUGUGAAAUCUCCGGGCUUAACCCGGAGCGGUCAAGUGAUACUGUCGUGCUAGAGUGCGGAAGGGGCUACUGGAAUUCUCGGUGUAGCGGUGAAAUGCGUAGAUAUCGGAGAGGAACACCCUGGCGGCGAAGGCGGGUAGCUGGGCCGACACGUGACCGCUGGAUGCGCGAAAGCCAGGGGACGCAAACGGG